GCUGGGCAUGGUGGUGCACGCCUGUAAUCCCAGCAGCUUGGGAGGAUGAGGCAGGGGGAUCGUGAGUUCAAAGCCAGUCUCGGCAACUUAGCAAAGCCCUAAGCAACUUAGUGAUACCCUGUCUCUA
rnacentral:sRNA from 1 species